rfam:Oryza punctata chromosome 8, whole genome shotgun sequence.
AUACCUUUCUCGGCCUUUUGGCUAAGAUCAAGUGUAGUAUCUGUUCUUAUCAGUUUAAUAUCUGAUACGUGGAUCAUGUAUCCACUUUGAUAUUAAAUUUAUUUUUUGUGGGGGAGGAUCCACCAAAGUGGCUUGCCGCUAGGGCCCUCGUGUGUCGCUCAGGCGUUGCACUACAGCUUGGGCUUGGCGCACCCCCA